rnacentral:lncRNA from 1 species
CUGCGCGUGAGGGGAGGGGCUGAGCGGAAUGGCGCGCGGCGGGCUGAGGGAGCGGCCGUAUCGAUUUUGUGGUGUUUUGCGCGCUGAGUCGAAAUAAAAGUAAAUCCUCUGAAUAUUCAGAUGUCCAUUUCCCGAAUACCAGCACCCGAUUCCUGAUCGAGACUAACCCCCACGUCAGGUACCAUUGUGCUGAAGGGUAAUGGGGCCGUGAGCUGCCAGCUGUGAUCAGACCCUGCACACCCAUCCCACCCCAGGAGAAAGCACCGUGGGCACCACUCAUGCCACUGUGCCACAUCCAUGGGUGACCUCAAGUCCCAUGGUGCCCAGCCUGAACCGUGGCAAAGCCCUGGGUUCAAAGCUCCCUGGGUGCUUUCCCUGGAAAAAACAAGGAGCAAACACCCCAGUAUGCCUCUGUGUGCUUGCAGCUAUGGAUACAUAUGUUCUAUACAGAGUUACGUCCUUUUGGCACCUGGGAUUCCUGCCAUCGCUGCAAUAUGAGCUCUGUCUGAAACUGCAUCCUCAGCCGUGCUGCCUCCACUGCCCUGCGUGUAGGCUCUAAAGGGACAAAAGAAUAGCUUUGUAUCAGUCUCCCUCAAUUAAAUGUAAAGUACAUCUGGACAGAGCCUGAAGAUCCAUCUUUCACUGGCA